rnacentral:lncRNA from 1 species
AGAAUUAGUGUCGGCAUUUCAAGGUACACUUUAUCGCUUCCUAGACUUAGCAUGAGUAGGUUGAUGUUGUGUGCAAAUUCCAUUUCAUAAAUUCAUUGAAGUAUAUGUCAGUUUUGAAUCAAAGUAGGACUUAACCAUUUGUGAGGAAGCUUUCCAUUGUGCACUAAAAAAGCGGGAAACCGAGCAUUAUUUUGACUCAUUCUUAUCAUGCUAAAUCAUGCAUCAAUCUAAUGUUGUGCGAAAUUUUUGAAUAUGAUAGAGGCAUUUUUUUUAUGAGAAAAACCACUUGACCAAAACGCUUAAAUCAACGAACCUUGUGAGGAGUAAUCCUUAGUUAACCCCCUUUGAGCUAAUUAGGAUUCAUUUGAUUGAUCGUUGUAAAAUCAAUUGAAAAUUGUGGAAUAAAUGAAUCCUAAUUUCUUUCGUAUCAGUUGAAACCUCAAACCGAGUUGUUUGCAAAAAUUUUGCCUUUUGCUUAUGUUUAAGUAGGGAGCAUUAUUGAAUAAAUCUGGUUGUGGAAUCUAAAGUUGGGGAGAGUAAAGUGAAGAGUUGAUUAGGAACUUGGAAAAGUGAGUUUCUAUGGAAGGGUAAGAAUAUGAAAAGAAACAAGAAAAAGAAAUCACCCUUGUAACCAUAGAGCAUAAAAAAAAAAAAAAAAAAAAUAAUUGCUCAUGGUUGUGUGGAUUUGAAAAGAAAAAGAUAGGGACCAAGGAAAAGGAAGUUGUGUAGAGUUAAAUCUUUGGGAAUGCUCCCUUAGGAUAGGCAACCUUGUUGAAUUCUCUUAAUCAUAUCCUUUCUUGUAACCUAAGCCACAUUACAACCUUUGAAAGACCUCUUGAUUCUCAUUUUUCACAUGAUUUGGUAUUUGUUGUGAUAGCCGCAUGAUUCGAUUUGUUGUUGAUUUAACUGCUUGGAUGAGUGAAAGUAACCCUUCAUGUUAUUCAUCAAUAUUGAUGUGUGCGUAAGUUUGAUUCAAUUUUGACAUGUAUGACUUUGAAAUCCUUGGAAUGAUUUUUGCACUUUACCAUUUCCCUUAUUUAUGUUUUGUCUAGAGUU